rnacentral:rRNA from 1 species
CAGCCGCCGCGGUAAUACAUAGGGGGCGAGCGUUGUCUGGAUUUAUUGGGCGUAAAGCGUGUGUAGGCGGUUUAUUAAGUCUAAGGUUAAAGGCUGAAGCUUAACUUCAGUAUGCCUUGGAAACUGGUAGACUUGAGUAUGGUAGAGGCAAGUGGAAUUUCUAGUGUAGCGGUUAAAUGCGUAGAUAUUAGAAGGAACACCAGUGGCGAAGGCGGCUUGCUGGGCUAUUACUGACGCUGAGACACGAAAGCGUGGGGAGCAAAUAGGAUUAGAUACCCUAGUAGUCCACGCCGUAAACGAUGAGUACUAAGUGUCGGAGUUAUUCGGUGCUGAAGUUAACACAUUAAGUACUCCGCCUGAGUAGUACGGCCGCAAGGCUGAAACUCAAAGGAAUUGACGGGCACCCGCACAAGCGGUGGAGCAUGCUGUUUAAUUCGACGCUACGCGAAGAACCUUACCUGGGCUUGACAUCUCAAGGAUCGCUCUAGAAAUAGAGUCUCCCUUCGGGGCCGUGAGACAGGAGGUGCAUGGCC